rnacentral:misc_RNA from 1 species
UUUCCGUAGGUGAACCUGCGGAAGGAUCCUUCAUAAUAAGUGUUUUAUGGCACUUUUUAAAUCCAUAUCCACCUUGUGUGCAAUGUCAGGGUUGAUUUUUCUCUCGAGAGGAUCAGCCCCAAACAUCAACUAUAUCUCAACUCUUUGUCUGAAAAAUAUUAUGAAUAAAACAAUUCAAAAUACAACUUUCAACAACGGAUCUCUUGGCUCUC